rnacentral:rRNA from 1 species
GUGCCAGCAGCCGCGGUAAUUCCAGCUCCAAUAGCGUAUAUUAAAGUUGUUGUGGUUAAAAAGCUCGUAGUUGAACCUUGGGCCUGGCUGGCCGGUCCGCCUCACCGCGUGCACUGGUCCGGCCGGGCCUUUCCCUCCGUGGAACCCCAUACCCUUCACUGGGCGUGGCGGGGAAACAGGACAUUUACUUUGAAAAAAUUAGAGUGCUCCAGGCAGGCCUAUGCUCGAAUACAUUAGCAUGGAAUAAUAAAAUAGGACGCGCGGUUCUAUUUUGUUGGUUUAUAGGACCGCCGUAAUGAUUAAUAGGGACAGUCGGGGGCAUCAGUAUUCAACUGUCAGAGGUGAAAUUCUUGGAUCAGUUGAAGACUAACUACUGCGAAAGCAUUUGCCAAGGAUGUUUUCAUUAAUCAGGAACGAAAGUUAGGGGAUCGAAGACGAUCAGAUACCGUCGUAGUCUUAACCAUAAACUAUGCCGACUGGGGAUCGGACGGUGUUAUUCAUGACCCGUUCGGCACCUUACGAGAAAUCAAAGUGCUUGGGCUCCAGGGGGAGUAUGGUCGCAAGGCUGAAACUUAAAGAAAUUGACGGAAGGGCACCACCAGGGGUGGAGCCUGCGGCUUAAUUUGACUCAACACGGGGAAACUCACCAGGUCCAGACACAAUAAGGAUUGACAGAUUGAGAGCUCUUUCUUGAUUUUGUGGGUGGUGUGCAUGGCCGUUCUUAGUGGUGGGGUGACUUGUCUGCUUAAUGCGAUACGAACGAGACCUUAACCUGCUAAAUAGCCCGCAUUGCUCCGGCAGUGCGCUGGCUUCUUAGAGGGACUUCGGCUCAAG